AAAAUGACUCUCGGCAACGGAUAUYUCGGCUCUUGCAUCGAUGAAGAASGUAGCAAAAUGCGAUACUUGGUGUGAAUUGCAGAAUCCCGUGAACCAUCGAGUCUUUGAACGCAAGUUGCGCCCGAAGCCAUUAGGUUGAGGGCACGCCUGCCUGGGUGUCACAC
rnacentral:rRNA from 1 species